AGAGCUAAUACAUGCUGUUGUGCCCGACUCACGAAGGGCCGUAUUUAUUAGAUAUCAGCCAAUAAGCAUCUGCUAUUGUGGUGACUCAUAGUAACUUAAUCGGAUUGCAUGGGCUUGUCCCGCGACAAACCAUUCAAGUUUUUGCCCCAUCAUGCUUUCGAUGGUAGUGUAUUGGACUACCAUGGCUUUUACGGGUAACGGAGGAUUAGGGUUCGAUUCCGGAGAGGGAGCCUGAGAAACGGCUACCACAUCCAAGGAAGGCAGCAGGCGCGUAAAUUACCCAAUCCUGACUCAGGGAGGUAGUG
rnacentral:rRNA from 1 species